GUCACAGAAACACCUUAAAAUACCCAUGCCCUGCAAAUAAGUUAGUGAUGCUCAUUUUUUUGUUGUCUCUCGAAUGUAUUGACUCUAUUAAACUGGCAUUUUUGAGGCCAUUAAGCUCAAAGAUGUGGUAUUUGCUGCAGGGUUAUUGUAUUGUUAGUAGUAGUUGUUAUCUUCUC